GAUGAAGAACGCAGUGAAAUGCGAUACUUGGUGUGAAUUGCAGAAUCCCGUGAACCAUCGAGUCUUUGAACGCAAGUUGCGCCCGAAGCCAUUAGGCCGAGGGCACGCCUGCCUGGGCGUCACACGUCGUUGCCCCCCUAUCUACUCCUUCGGGAUUGCGGGGGGCGGAUGAUGGCCUCCCGUGCGCCUCGUCGCGCGGUUGGCAUAAAUGCCAAGUCCUCGGCGACACACGCCACGACAAUCGGUGGUUGCGAAACCUCGGUUGCCCGUCGUGUGCGGUCGUCGCGCAUCGAGGGCUCGAAAAAAUUGCCGGGCUCCGGCUCGGCUUUCAACGCGACCCCAGGUCAGGCGGGGUUACCCGCUGAAUUUAAGCAUAUCAAUAAGCGGAGGA
rnacentral:misc_RNA from 1 species